UACAGAGGUCUCAAGCGUUGUUCGGAUUCAUUGGGCGUAAAGGGUGUGUAGGUGGCGCCGUAAGUCGGGUGUGAAAUUUCGGAGCUUAACUCCGAAACUGCAUUCGAUACUGCCGUGCUUGAGGACUGGAGAGGAGGCUGGAAUUUACGGUGUAGCGGUGAAAUGCGUAGAUAUCGUAAGGAAGACCAGUGGCGAAGGCGGGUCUCUGGACAGUUCCUGACGCUGAGGCACGAAGGCCAGGGGAGCAAACGGG
rnacentral:rRNA from 1 species